rnacentral:rRNA from 1 species
AGAGCGAACGCUGGCGGCAGGCCUAAUACAUGCAAGUCGAACGGACCCUUCGGGGUUAGUGGCGGACGGGUGAGUAACACGUGGGAACGUGCCCUUUGGUUCGGAACAACUCAGGGAAACUUGAGCUAAUACCGAAUGUGCCCCCAUCCUUAAACAAGAUGGGUGGGAAAGAUUUAUCGCCAUUGGAGCGGCCCGCGUCUGAUUAGCUAGUUGGUGAGGUAAAGGCUCACCAAGGCGACGAUCAGUAGCUGGUCCGAGAGGAUGAUCAGCCACACUGGGACUGAGACACGGCCCAGACUCCUACGGGAGGCAGCAGUAGGGAAUCUUGCGCAAUGGGCGAAAGCCUGACGCAGCCAUGCCGCGUGAAUGAUGAAGGUCUUAGGAUUGUAAAAUUCUUUCAGCGGGACGAUAAUGACGGUACCCGCAGAAGAAGCCCCGGCUAACUUCGUGUCAGCAGCCGC